rnacentral:rRNA from 1 species
CAAUAGCGUAUAUUUAAGUUGUUGCAGUUAAAAAGCUCGUAGUUGGAUUUCGGGUGGGACGCAGCGGUCUCGCAUUGCGUUUGUACUGCUGCAGCCCUCCUUCUUGCCGGGGGCGGCCUCUCGGACUUCACUGUCUGGGGGUCAGAAUCGGCGAUGUUACUUUGAGUAAAUUAGAGUGUUCAAAGCAAGCUUACGCUCUGAAUAUAAUAGCAUGGGAUAACACGACAGGACUCUGGCCUAUCGUGUUGGUCUAUAGGACCAGAGUAAUGAUUAAGAGGGACAGUCGGGGGCAUUCGUAUUCCGUUGUCAGAGGUGAAAUUCUUGGAUUUACGGAAGGCGAACAUCUGCGAAAGCAUUUGCCAAGGAUGUUUUCAUUG